rnacentral:rRNA from 1 species
UACGUAGGGUGCAAGCGUUGUCCGGAAUUAUUGGGCGUAAAGAGCUCGUAGGUGGCCUGUCGCGUCGGCUGUGAAAACUCGGGGCUCAACUCCGAGCUUGCAGUCGAUACGGGCAGGCUAGAGUUCGGCAGGGGAGACUGGAAUUCCUGGUGUAGCGGUGAAAUGCGCAGAUAUCAGGAGGAGCACCGGUGGCGAAGGCGGGUCUCUGGGCCGAUACUGACACUGAGGAGCGAAAGCGUGGGGAGCGAACAGG